GUCAGUGUAGAAAGCCCAGGCAUUGUCCCAUAGCUGGCCCUGUGUGUUUGCACUGAUUCCUCAGAAUAAGUUUGCAGAUAGCUUAACUUCCAGAAUUCCUGAGUUUCACUAGUCCCCCUUCUUUAUGAUGAAUUGGAAAAAGGGUAUAUUCUGGGAUAAAGCAAGAGGAAACUGGGUGCAGCAAAGAUCCCUAGACCAUUUUUCCCAGUGGCCCAUUGCUCCUGCUGCUUUUUUCAUACCAGCUGAAUCUCCCUAAACCCCACGUCUGCGGCAAAGUCUUCGUGGUGAAACAGGCAGUCUUCAGUACAAGAAGCGUCAAUCUCAGAUCUUACUCAUUUCCAACCUGUACCAAUCAAAGGCCCUCCCAGCCAAGAUAAAAGCAAAGUCUCCCUCCUCCAGAGCACAUGGGAAUGGCCCCCCAGUAGCUGGGGCAUGCAAGCUAAUGAAGUUUCAUCUUCCACCUCUAUCCAAAUAUGACCUUGCUGAUACCAUCUCCUAUUAGAUGACAAAUCCGGAUGUUUCUAUUGCAUGGUUGUUAUUUGCCACAUGCUUCCUGGACAAGUUUCUAGCCAGCUGCCAUGUGUCAGGACACUCAGGCAGCCUGUGGAAAGCUGCACAUGGUGAGGAACAGAGGGCUCCAGUCAAACGACCAAUGCCAACAACCAUGUUCCCAGGUGCUGCUGUUGCUGCCGGGGGUCAGAGGAUACCCUCUGAGAACUGGUGCUCUGACAAACAAUGGGUAAGCAUGGCUGUUGUUAGGCUAUCCUUAUCAGUGUGAGUACAGAUCAGAACAAGGGUGUAGAACAGAUUUCCUUUUGUUCUGAGCUGAAUGCAAACAGCAAUUACCAUACGUUGCACCAAUAGGUGGAAACUGAGUCUGGC
rnacentral:lncRNA from 10 species